AAAGCUUUCUCACUCAGAAUUGCUCUAUGCAUCGCCUAACUCUCGAUUACCAUCGUUAAGAUGGUAUCAGAGCAGGUUUAUCCCGGCUUGAGACUCAGAAAAAUUUCAUCACAGUCUCAUGUACCUUUCCCGACCCUUUGAAACCUGCGAAAAAACACAACCAAAAAUGUCAGAAUCAGACAGUCCUCCAAAAACCAACACAACCGUAACCCUCUCGGCAGAACAAUUUGCCGAGUUUAUGAGACUGAGUAUGUCUCAGAACACCAAAACAACCAGCCUUCAUCCAUCGAAUCACUAGGCGAGGUGCGCCUGGCAGAGAAGCUCAACGGGGAUAACUACCUGCUAUGGGCUAAACUGAUGAGUCGAGGGAUCCGAGGGAAGGGUCUGGCUUCUCACAUUAAUGGAGUUAUAGAUCCGCCCCCCUCCGACGGACCCAAACUACAACCAAUGGCAGCAGCGGGACGAUUGCUGCUUCAAUUGGAUCAUAAGCAACAUCGACGCCAGCCUCAUAAACGAGGUGUCCCAGUACGAGACGGCUUAUGACUUAUGGGAGAGUCUAGCCACCAUGUAUGGAAGCGACGCCGAUCUGUUUCAGAUUUCAGACCUGCACAGACAGGCAUAUAGCAUUAAACAAGGUGAAUCAACGCCGGAGAACCUAUGGCAGAAAUUACAAGACCUCUGGAUAUCGAUUGAUACCCGGGAUCCAAACCCAAUGGACACUCCAUCAAGCAUCGAAAAGUACAAUCAGAACACAACGAUUGUACCAAUUCAUGUGGGCACUGGAAGACAACAGUUACGGCAAGAUAAAGGGGGAAAUCCUCAAUAUGGAUUCGAUACCAACAACAAGGAAAGCGUAUGGAUUAGUCAGAAGAGAGUCGGUCAACGAAAAAUUACUCAAUCCAGAGGCGAAGGAAUCCGGAAUUGGAGUAGGGCUUGCAGUACACAACCGAAAUUGAGCACCCGCACCACAGUAUCACCAUCCCCCAUCGCGGAACCCUAAUUACCAGAAGGAUGAGGAUAAAAGCAAGUUAGUAUGCAGCCAUUGUGGAGGAAAGAAACACACCAAAGAGACAUGCUUCCACAUCCAUGGGUUCCUGGAGUGGUGGGAAGAGAUGAAGAAGACAAGGCAAGCCCGAAAUGCCGGCAGAACCAGUGGUGGCAGGGGAGGUGGGAGAGCCUCAGCAGCCAUCGCUCAAGAACGCGCCUCCUACCCCGAAAAGUCUCCGACGGGUGGUAGUGGCAUCCUCGGUAUCAAUGGAGAAACCAGAAAUGAGGAAAAGCCUCCAACCGCUUCCGUUUCCAUAGUAAGAAGAUGGUCCGAAGGAUAUCAAGACGGGGACGAUAGUUGGGCGUGACAUUGAGCGAAGCGGACUGUACUAUGUAGACGAGAUAGCCCAACAGAGUGCUGCAAUGAUGCUGACUCCCGGACCGACAGACAGACAGGCUUGGCUUUGGCAUCUUUGGGAUAUUUCCUUCUCUUUUUUCCUAAAUUAGCUAGAUCCUUGAACUCUUUUAAUUGUGAUACUUGUGUGUUGGCCAAAAACCAUAGACAUUUUUUCAAGUUAAACAAUACGAGAGUAAAAUCUCCUUUUGCUUUA